rnacentral:rRNA from 1 species
UGGGGAAUUUUGGACAAUGGGCGAAAGCCUGAUCCAGCAAUGCCGCGUGUGUGAAGAAGGCCUUCGGGUUGUAAAGCACUUUUGUCCGGAAAGAAAUCCUUGGCUCUAAUACAGUCGGGGGAUGACGGUACCGGAAGAAUAAGCACCGGCUAACUACGUGCCAGCAGCCGCGGUAAUACGUAGGGUGCAAGCGUUAAUCGGAAUUACUGGGCGUAAAGCGUGCGCAGGCGGUUUGCUAAGACCGAUGUGAAAUCCCCGGGCUCAACCUGGGAACUGCAUUGGUGACUGGCAGGCUAGAGUAUGGCAGAGGGGGGUAGAAUUCCACGUGUAGCAGUGAAAUGCGUAGAGAUGUGGAGGAAUACCGAUGGCGAAGGCAGCCCCCUGGGCCAAUACUGACGCUCAUGCACGAAAAGCGUGGGGAGCAAAACAGGAUUAGAUAACCCUGGUAGUCCACGCCCUAAAACGAUGUCAACUAGUUGUUGGGGAUUCAUUUCCUUAGUAACGUAGCUAACGCGUGAAGUUGACCGCCUGGGGAAGUACGGUCGCAAGAUU